rnacentral:lncRNA from 1 species
UGCUGCUUAAUAAUUUUCCAUAGCUCAUACUCUGACCUUAAGACAAUAUUAUCUAAAAUUAAUUUCAAAUAACUAUUAAUGGGAAGUAUUUAAAGUAGUGCAUGUGUUAACUAGGCUACUAAAAAUUUUUUCACCACAAAUUUUAAAACAUAAUGCUGGCAUUAAGCCCUAACACUAACAAAAAUCUGAUGGCUAACAUUCACGAACUUUUGUAGACUGUAAUUUAUAAAAUUUACUAUGUGGUGUAUACAACAUGAAAUCAUAGAGGCACCAAUGAAAAUAUGAUAGCUAAGGUUAACACACUCUCUUCUACAUACAAAUAGGUUGUACUCUCAUCUGCAUACAAAUGAGUUGAUUUAUGUCAAAUACUUAAAUGAAUUAUUCUACAUAUAAAUACAUGUACUCUCUUUUGCAUAGAGGGAUUAUUAGCAAAUAUUUGCAUAUGUUCAUCAAUC